rnacentral:rRNA from 1 species
UACGGGGGGCAAGCGUUGUUCGGAAUUACUGGGCGUAAAGGGCGCGUAGGCGGCCUGCUAAGUCGGAUGUGAAAUCCCUCGGCUCAACCGAGGAACUGCAUCCGAUACUGGCGGGCUUGAAUCCGGGAGAGGAUGUGGAAUUCCAGGUGUAGCGGUGAAAUGCGUAGAUAUCAGGAAGAACACCCGUGGCUAAGGCGGCUCUCUAGUACGGUACUGACGCUGAGACGCGAAAGCGUGGGGAGCGAACAGG